CUUUGUGUGUGUCUGCAAGGGGUAUAAAAUGGAAAGGCAAGGAAAGCAAUUUAUUAAAGCCAAGCUGAAGCAAGCAUAGAUGCCUUGUCAUCCAUUCCAAAAUGGGGAUUGUUGCCCUUCCACUCAUGCAAAAUGUCAGGUCAAUCUUUCUGCAACUUUCAUUUGCUCUGCUUGUCAUCAUUUCCUUGGCCUCAGGAAAGACUGCCUGACUUGUUUGUGUAAACCUGAUGACAGAACUUGGACAAACAGGAAGAUAUCUGGAAAGUAGCAAGUUACUAUUAAUGUGGAAGUUUCUAAAAGAGGAAAGAUUCUUCUGAAAGAAAAAGAACUGCUGAUUGUCAGGGCUCCAUGCUUUGAGAGUGCUGAUUCAUAUUUAAGAGAAGCUCCACUGGAGAUGGCAAAACAGAUUAUAUGAUCAUAAAAUCAGUAAUGCCUAAGCAUAGAGGAAGAGGCUUAUUCACACAAGACUCACUGAUUUAAAGAGGAGCCAAAAAAAAACUUGUGAGAAGAAUUAGUUCUCUGUAGCCAUAUUUGCAGUGGGAUGACUUCAGCUCAGGGAAGGUUGUACUGCCUAGCUGCUCCUGGAGGUCCAUGGAAAAGGGAUAUGGCCACCACUUCCCAAGAGCUUGGCUGAAGCUGCCACCACACUCAGACUAAGCCACUGGGGUCACAGGAGUGGGACGCUAGAAGACAUCUUGUGACUUCAACAGGAUCUAAAGCUUCAGCCAUUGGAAUUUCCUUACAAGGCCUUUGAUUGACCAAUGGGAGACUUAGAAGGCAUGAAAAGAACUGACCAGUUUUCUAACCUAAUAACUUCUCAGAAGAAAAUGCUCCAGUACUAGUUUUGGACUCCAAGGAAACUAGGAAAUGAAGUUGUGGCUUGGAUUCAGUCAUUCUUUAUGGCAUUUGGGCAUGUAAAACCCUGAUGAACCAUAAGCAAAAUGAAAGAAAGGACAAUUGUAAACAAGGUCUUUCAGUGCUAAUUUUAAAUCUAGGAUGACAAAUGGAGGUAUAUCAAUGCAACAACUACAGCAACUUCAAUCAUUUUCCUAUAUGUAGUUACUCAAAAUUCAAGUUGACAGGUAUGCCUCACCUAAAUUCUGAUAUGUGUCAUCUCCUGAUUUACAAAUGCUUGGUUUUGCAGAACAAAUAAAAUUCUUACCCUGUUACUUAAUGGUGCUGAAGAUAUUUCCUCUCUUAUCUUUUGUUAUCUUCUUUUUCUGUUGCUACUCGUAUCUGUCACCAGUCAUAUAUUUAAAUGCUUCCAUAGAUAACCUGUUCUGUGACUUUCUCAAACUUCUAUUUUAAUUCACAGUGUUUUUUCCCUUUCUUUCUGUAUCAUCAGUGUACAAUCUCCAGAGUACCAAGCAACUCACAGAGCAGCUUGAAAAGCUGCAUCACAGUGAACUCAAUGUCUGAGAGUCAGUAUUCUUUGCAAAUGCUAAUGGCUUUGAGCAAAUCAGUUUAUUUUUCAGUGUUUCCCUGUUCCCACCAUUUCUAGUAAUGCAGAUAGAGCUAUUCUCUUUUCUGAGCAAAAUGUAAUCUGGCAAAUUGGGUUGGUAGCAGGAAAAGGGGAGAGCUUUCAUCAUCUGGAUAAAAUGGACCUAAAGGUUUUAUAAAUUAAAGGCCAAUUAUUCCCCGGGGUGCAUGGUGGGCUUUCCACAGCAAUCAGUCUUGUGAAUCUGAAGACAGAACAGGGCCUUGACUGUCUGUGUUUGGACUUUGUCAGGCCAUUUGUUUGUGACCAGAAUUGUAUUGUUGUUCUGAUUUUCAAUAAAGGGAUGUUCACUGAGGCAUCACAUUGAUAUUUUUGAAGUACAUUCCAUGUUUUCAAAGAAACAAAUUUAUCAGCAACGAAUUGAAAUGUCUAGCUGUUUCCGUAUGCUGUAGAGAUUUCAAAUCAUGCUGCUGUGCAUGCAUUCAUUUUUCACCUGCUGGAUGUAAUGGGAAUGAGUUCACUACAAGAAUGAAAGCAUGUUAACAAGGAAGUGAUUUGGCCAAACCAUACUUCUUCCUCCUAACAGAUAAAAAAAGCCUUGACAAACAAAAGCUGAAGACAAAAGCUUGUUUUCAUUAAUCAUAAAUCAGAGAUGAUCCCCAAAUAGUACAGUGGGAGGCAAUGUUGGCAGUAGACCUGUGGGAUUUUAACAAGCUCAGCUUCCAUUCAUUGUUUUACCUGUAUCUAGGUUAACUACUGUCUGAAAGAGCUGUGUGGGAAAAUCUCAUUAUAUUAUCUUCAAUUAAAAAAGCUGAUUAUUUGUAGAAAAACUCUUCAGGCUUUCAUUUCCAAGUCCUGUACAAGGCAGAAACUUUGUCUAAGGUAUUAAAAAUCCUUCAGUGGAUGUGUAAAAUAUGGCCAAUAGUAAAGACCUUGAGAUGUUCCACUGAGUAUGUUCACAAAAUUUGAGUAAAGAUGUUGUUCCAGCUCCUGAGAGCUGAAAAGCUUCCUGCAAGACCAAGUGGCCAACCAGACUGAUUCUUUGGACAUUGAACCUACAGAGUAACCUGCUAAUAUAUCACAUGGAGCCAUGACUGAAAAUGCCUGGCUACUAUCAGACACAUCUACACUUCUGGAACCUAUGGACCUCAGUCUGCAUCAUGCUUGCCAAGAUUGCAAUAUCUGGUAUGUUUUCUGCAGUAUUUCUUGGCAAAAAGAGCAAGGCUAGAGGCGAAAGUUUGAAAGAUCUCUUAAAGGAGUAUUUUAAGCCUAGGAUGAAUUCUUGAAGUCCCUAGUACAGAUGAAACAUCCAACUAGAUACUGGGGGUCAGAAGUAGAAAAGAGGAAGAGAGAGGGAAAAGAAACUACAUUCAAGGAAGGUGAUUCUGUUUGGAAAAAAUGUCUCAUACAGUUUGGCACCUAACUCUUACCAUGCUGUUGCCAACUUGCAAGUUCAUAUGAGGUUUAUAGCAAGUUACAGGAAGAAUAAAAUGUUAAUCAUGUGCAGAACCUUAGUGUUGUAUCCACGCCAUCUAGUUCAACAAGAGUAAUAGCACACAGACUGAGUGAUUACAGAAUGACAUAAGUUUCUUUUCCACUUGAAUUUGAAAAUGUAUUUCCAUUUAAAGCUUAAUUUUUAUGUGUUUCAUCCAAAAUUAAGAAAACAAGAGGAUGUGCUUUUCAAGCACUAUAUAUAGACUGGAUCUGGCAUCAAUUUUUUUCUAACAGCUGUGUUAGAAGUAGUGACUUUUAACAUAGUAUCUAAAAACUUAUCAGCAUUUUAGGGUGGCUCAAAAACACAAAGGGCAAGGAGUUGGGGAAAAUCAGUGAUAAGGGUAGUUACUCAAAAGACUUAACUGCAUGCCGCAGCUUGUGUCCUCUUAACAUAUUACAAAACCUCCUAUUUAAAGUGUAGCAGAUCUAUUGAAAUGGGGUCUGAGACUGGAUAUAGCACAACAGAAUUAAAGAAUAUUUAAUUCUCAUUUUAAGAGCUGCAAAGUUGUUUUUUUGGGUUUGUUUGUUUGUUUGCUUUUAUUUUUAUUUUUCUGUAUUUACAUUCGUAACUAUGAAUUUUACUCUCAUCAAUUGAGGUCAAAGAUCGUAAUUCACAUAAAACUUAUCAUUAUUACAAGAAAAAGUAAGCCUUUCAUUAAUGAACUAUGCACUAGACAGUCUGUUCAGCUGAUUAAACUUUUCUAUUUCUGAAUUUUUUUAUGCAUUAUAAUCACCUCCUUGAAAACCUUCUUUCUUCUUGUAACUGGCUACAGACUCGAUGGAAAAUAUUUGGUCUUUUCCUUUCACACAAUACAAAUGGCAUGCUAAUUUUUGCCCAUGGAAAAUAAUGUUUUCAAGUACAAUAAACAUCUUUAUUAUCACCUUAGUAUGCACUGGAGUCAUUCUGAUGUAUUGCAAAUACAUUGGACCCAUAUAUAUAUGUAGCAAAAAUAUAUAAUUUUGUCUGUUGUUGUUGUUUGUUUUAAAAAAAAGAAAUUCUUCAGAAACCUGCUCAGGGUGAGUGGGCCUACUUAUUAGAAAUGACUUCUCCAAACUUCCGUCUACAAAUUAAUGUUGCACUUUGGAGAAAACAAAUUUAUUUUGGAGAAAGUGUUGUCAUUGCAUUUCUUUAUUUCUUGCCAUUUUUUCUUUGUUUGAUAGAUAAGAUUUCUUGUGCAGUGCUUUCUUUUCUUGUUUAUUAGAGUUAUUAGUUUAUUUAUGGUCUAUUGGUGCACAACAGUUCUUUAAGCUUAUAGUAUCUACUUUAUUGUCAGUAAGAAAGAUGAGAAGCAAAAGUGUGAAGGGUUUUCCUAGGGUAAAACAAGAACGAUAAGCAUUUCAAGUGAGAAACUUAAGUGAGUGAAGAAAAGCUGGACUGCAGAAAAUUAAGAUGAGACUGUCAAUUUGCAUGGGUAAGUAACAUAGUGUUGAGUUUUAUCUUUAAAGCAAUUAUUAUAUCUGGUUUAUAUUCAGCUACUUCACAUCGUCCAACAUUUUUGCAAUAUAAUGCAGUAACAUUUUUUAAUUUAUUUGCUUUUUAUCUUGCCAGCUGGCCUGCAUCUUUCGUUUUCCUUUGCAGUGUUGUAUUAGAUACAGUAAGGAAAAUUUUCCACUUUUUCUAUUUGGAAAAAGUGAAUAGAAGAAUCUGAAUCCAGAGGGAAAGGGAGGAAACAUAAGUUUAUUUUUCUGCAUAUUUUUUCUGACAGCAAAAAGAAGAAACAUUUUUUUUCACUUGUAAUCACAUAAUAUAGUAAAAAGUUUUUGAAGUUUGCUAAGACUUCUGGAUAUAUCUAUUACUAUUUAUACAAAUUUACUGUAUUAUCUGCAUGGAAGAUAUGCAAGUCUUUUUCUGCUGCACUGAUUUACACUAGAAAGGUGAUGCCUGUAUUUUCUAAAGAGAUGAAUUUCAUCUGAAAGACAGGGAUGGAAAGACAACUUACAAUUCUGCAGAACAUCUUUUCUGCAGUGUUGCUACCAAAACAAAACAAAAACAAACAAACAAACAAAAAAGUCAAACCUAAAUCUUGAAGCUCCCCUCUACUCUCCCAAGGAAACUUUAAAUUAGGAGAGGUCCUUGAAGUUUCAGUAAGAAUUUAGCAAAAGCACAAGCACUUAGCCAUCUUUUGUGAUGACAUGUAUUCUCAAAAGCUUCACCACAUUCAUGAAAAUGAAUAGGAAGUUCCUAUCUUCUAGUUUAGCACAGCUGAGUCCAAUGAAGGGCAUCAUUUAACAUAUAUGGAAAACAUGUAAGUCCCUUUGAAAGUAAUGUCUCCUAUUUACUUCCAGGGAAACUACAACAUGUACAAAGAACACAAUAACUACUGCUAUUGUGCGGAUCAACUGUUAUUGUGCUGUUAUUUCCUCUCCUUGAAGGCUGGUUACAUCAAUGAGAAACACUGAAAAUAUAUUUCCAAUAAGUAAUCUUUAGGGAGUCAGAGAAGCAGUAAAGGACAAUUUGUAUGGUCUCUGAAAUGUUGACUUCCGCAUAAAUUGAAGAUGAAUUGUGAGAGACCAUGUUGGGAAAGCAGAAUUUCGAAAGUAAGUCAGAUUGGAUUGUUGUUUCUGUAGUGGAAGCAUGUUUAUAUUUUUUUCAUAAAUUUCUAGGGAAAAAUACUUGAAUUUGUCGAAACUAGCUGUCAAUUUCAUGAACAGCAAAAAUAGUGAUGUUAGGAAUUUACUAUGAAAGUACUUCCUGAUAUAUAUACUUUAAUAUACAAAUAUUCUCAUUGCACAUUACAAUAAAAUAAUUUAUUACUAUUAUAUAAAAUAAUAUACAACAUGCAAUACUGCAUAUAUAUUAUACAUAAAUAUAUUUUUUUACAUCCACUAAAUAUGUGGAAUCACUCAGCUGCUGUAAUUUAUCCUGCUAAAAAAUUUACUAGUUUUACAGCGUUCAUGAAUGUACUUACAUUUUAUCAAUGUGGGAAACUAUCUGCCUGUGUUUUUUAAGCUACACUGAAUUUUUAGAGCCUUGAUCUUAUGUACAAAGUAAUAUCUUUAGACUUUCUGAGACUUUAACCAGCAGAGUUGUCAAAUUAAACUGGGUCAUUUUGUAAAUGUAUCUUUAAUAAGUACAUAUGUCUGUCAUGCUUCCCUACUCAGUCUUAUAAAUCAGACUGUAUCUAGCUGUCAGAUGCUCUCAGCCCAGCUGUCCUAAUCUGUCAAGUAAAAAUUAUAGCAUCUAGGUUCAUAUCCAUCUCUGAAAAUAUUUAUUUAUACCAGUGACACAUCAAGGACACACAAUCUUCUUUUUUUUUUUUAAUUAUUUUCCCAGCAACAAAACCAUUAACAGCUGGCUCAAGUCCCUGCCAGGAGGGCAGUGUUAAUAUAUACAGAGAAUUUAUAGUGGAGGAACACAGGAGUCAAGCAAAAUAAUUGCUGGAUUGUAUUUUUAAAAACUCUUACUAAAUUUCAGACAUAGAGCAUUCAGAUUUGUCUUAGUAUAGAAUAGUAAUUGUAUGCCUUUUAUCAUCCUCACCCUCUAUUCAUCAGCAAUGAAUGAAGAAGCCUCUACUCCUGUAUUGCAGAGAUCUUGAGAUUGCCUACAGAUUUGGCCUCUCUUCAAUACGUAGAAAUUAACUACUGCAGUUCUAAUGACAAAUCAGGUACAUCAUAAACCAUUGCUGUAACUUUAGAGGAGUAAACAAGACGUGGAGAAUUUGAAAUGAAUGCCUUUCCUACUUCCGUCAGCUCUUUCUGAGCAGAAACUAUGAUAUUGGUGUUUAAGAGUAAGGGGAACUGAGGGAGAAUAGGAUGAAGGAAUCCUUCACAUUUUGAAAAGAACAGAAAUUUCUAUCACGUGUAGGCAAAGAGAUGGUAGAGAAGAGUAGGCUAUUACUUGUUUAAAAAUUUUUGACUGCACCCUGUUAAAGCAACCACCAAAACUCACCUGCAUUCAGUUAAAGACAAGAAGAAAAAGAACAGUAAUUCUUUGAUAUCUUGUACACAAACAAAAAUCAAAUAUCAGUCUGCUGUAAACUUAAAACUUAUUGUAAUCAUACUAAAAGUAAUUUUGUCUCUGUGUAAGCACACAAAUGCACGCCUGAGAUGGGUAAAUUAUCAGAAACUCCUUCUAUACGAUUAACUCAGCUUCAUUUUGAGCAUUUUGAACAUUUUGAAUGUUCAUUUUGAACAUU